AGCCCGGUCGUCUAGUGGACAAGGAUGGAGGGCUUUGGACCCUUAGACCUGAGUUCGAAUCUCAGCCGGGCUACCA
rnacentral:tRNA from 1 species